rnacentral:lncRNA from 1 species
UAACGCCUGGGCACCCAAACUUUGUUCAAAUUUUCUAUUUUCCAACAUAAUGGUGCCUGCGCGCUUGGAUGGUAGCGCUCUAUAUACGUAAACGUUUCAGUUGAUAGCCUUUCGAAAAGCCCUCUCAGCUAAAUACAGUUGUUUUAGGCCGAACAAAGGAAAGUGACUUUGUUUAGGUGCAUAGCAAGGAACUUGAUCCCACUUCUUCGUCAUCAACUAAGAUAGUGACUAGCUGGUCAUAGAUAAUGAACUUUGCCUUUUGGUGCAGCGUAGAUGGGCUGUACACAAUUCUCCUUUUUUCAUGCAACUUUGGCUCAUUCCUAGUAUUCUUUGCCUAUUUUCAGGUCAUCCUCUUCUUGGUUCAUGUCAACAUCACUCUUUUGUUCAUUGUCUUGAACAAUUGCACAAUUUUCGCCAAUUCAUCUAACCUACAAUACAACACAAAAAUACACAUCAAAACAUUUAAAAACCCAAAAAACGAAACGGAAUAUCAAGUUUAGUUAAUCUUACUAUUAGAGUAAAACACCCUCAUCAGAACACUAAUUUUAAAACAAAAGUUCACCAAAUACUCAUCUGGUUCUUUCUCUAGUAUAUUUGUAACUAAUUCUCUUUAAAGUAUAAUGAUUGAAAUUUUUUCUCAAUGCAUAAAAUUAUUUGCCAACAUAUAGGAUCAAAUAGAGCCAUCGGUCAUUAGAUAUUAAUGUUUAUGACAACAUAAAAUUGUAACUCGCUUUUUGUGCAUUUUAUCAUACAAUUCAGUAGUCCAUUUUAAUAUACCAGGAUAUAUAUAUACUGUUUGUACGAUGCCUAAGGUUUCUGGGCCAGCCUUAUAAGUCAUACCUACUGUUGGAAUAUUGUUCAACAACUAAUAAAAUGUGUAUGGAAUGAAAAUUGAAACCGGAGGCCAAAGAUGUGAAUGGCCUAUGCGGUUGCAUAGUGAUAUGCCUAAUGGCCCUGCCGUUAAAUAAAGUAUACUGUUGCAUAGGAUUGGCCUCUACGACUGCAUAGAACAACAUUAUGGCUGUUAUUAUUUGAAUUCUGGAAGCUUUUCAUUUGUUUUUGGCACUAAUUCGUGGAGAAUAGUUGAGACCUAUAUAUAUAUAUGUGGUUAAGGUUCAUUAUGAAAUAUAUGAAAAGCCAAUU